GUGUCAGGAAGCCCGGGGUGGCUGGGAAGACACCCAGGCCUCUUAAGUCACAUGGCGCUUCCUCACCACGGAAACAGACCAGUUCUGAGGCAAUCCCUGACUGCUCUCUCCCUCCCCUAAGGGAGGUGGGCUCUUGUCUAGCCCUGGGGUCUCCUGAAGGCCCUGAGCUAUGGCGUUGUCACCAACACCACAGGCAGCUCCUAAGUGCAGGUGCAGGACUCGUGGAAGAAACAGCAGAUGAAAACUUCCUCUGCAAAGGCUGCGCCCCUGAGAAGCCAGUUUCCUUUUUUAGACAUGUCCUGUCCAUCCAUGCAGGCCCUUGGUGGGCAGGGGUUGAUCUAAUAAGAUAGAAACAGGGCAGCAGGCUCACUGCCAGCCAUGCAGGACUGUGCUUUGCCCUCAAGACGUCCCUGUGCUCUUCGCCAUGCGGAUCUGGGCCCCGGUUUGCGGCCUGAACCGGGCUAACAGUGGCGGGCUGGGCUGUUCUUAUUUUAGUCGUGGUGUGCCACGGAAUCCAAGGUGCCUGACAAUCAUUGACGGGACCAUUAGUUUUGUCCCGGGUCUCCCUCACAAAAGGCAGCAGAAGUGCUGCCAGCUCUCGGAGGCAGACGCUGUCCUGUUUACGAGCUUAGACUUAAUGAGCUAUGGUGUGAUACUUAAUUCUGUAACACCUAGCGGGAGCCACGCUGGGCUUACAGUUAGCUGUGUGUAACAGAGGGGAAAUCACGGCUGUGAUGACAUCACUCGUUGACUUACCUGUGACUUGACUCUACUGGCACCCUCCUUAACAUGCGAGACAGGCCGGUUCCUAACCCGUGGUCCAUACUAUGGGAUUCCCAGGCUCAGGUUGCUUUUAGGGACCUCCUGUAUGGCUUCCACUUGUGUCUUACUUCUCUGGCUCCAGAUGCAGGGAGACAGUUUUUUUAUUUCUUUUUUUUUUAUUAUUAUUACUGUAAAAGAAAAAAAACCCCACAGGGUAAAACUUACCAUUUUAACUAUUUUUUUAAAGAUAUAAACCUUAUUUUAUGUAUUUUUUUAAAGAUGUAAAUCUUAUUUUAUGUAUAUGAGUGUUCUAUCUGCAUUUACACCUGCCAGAAGAGGGAAUCAGUUCACAUUAUAGAUGGUUGUGAGCCACCACGUGGUUGCUGGGAAUUGAACUCAUGACCUUUGGAAGAGCAGACAGUGCUCUUAACCACUGAGCCAUCUCUCCAUCUUAACUAUUUAAAAAUGUACAGGUCAGUAGUGGCUAGUAAUCCACUACUGCUUAUCUCCCCCCCCCUCAUUCUUCCUCACCCCUGCCCCACUCUCACCCCCAAGAAUCUGGCACCCAGGCUUUUCUGGAACUUGUGAUUUUCCCAUCUUAGCCUCAUGAGUGUGAAGGUGACAGUUGUGUGAAACCAUGGCCAGUCCCCAUAUAUUCUUCUCAAAGGAAAAAUUACUUAUUUAUUUUAUGUGUAAGGGUGCUUUGCCUACGUGUAUGUCCGUGCAUCCGGUGCCUGCAGAGGCUGGAAGAGGGCAUCGGAUCUCCCCAAACUGGAUUACAGACAAUCAUGAGUGAGCCUCUUCGUGGGUGUUAGGAUUGAACCCAGGUCCUCUGGAAGAGUAGCCAGUGCUCUUAACUGCUGAGCCACCUCUUCAGCAUCCCCCUUCCUCUCUUUGUUGUGCAGCCAGUGCCACAGAGGGUAGAAAGGCUAUGCCUCAGGAGAGGUGCCAGCCGGACCUCCUGAAGCAGAGACUGGUCCUGGCCUCCUUUGGUUCCAUGCUGCAGGAUGGUAACGCACAGUUCCCAUCCUCCUGUCUCAUACUUGCUCCUUAAUUUCCCUCUAGGAGACCCCUCCUCCUCACCCCUCUGGGAAGAGGUGGCAUGUGUCCCAGGCCUGUCUGGCUCAUCGGGGUCCUCUGGACAGCACCUGGCUGGGUUAAAGAUAGACAAGGAGCCAGUGAAAGUAAAGCUUCUGCUUGUCCUGGAACUGGGGGGUCAGACUGUCCUGGGGAUGCUCAGCUGAGAGGAUGUGAGCCUGGGGAUGCUGGCAAACCAGAGUAAACCUGCUGGCAAGGGAAAACUCACCCAGCCAGCAUCGAGAACAGAAGAAAGACACUCCGGAAGACUGGGUGUAGACACAAAUCUCACCUUCAGUUGGGGAAGCCUGUCACGUCUGCUUCCUUUCCUUCCUCCCUGUUAAGAAUAUCCUAUUUUAAUAAUUGCAUAUGGGUGUUUAGCCUGCAUUUGCUUCUGUGUACCACAUGCUUGCCUGGUACUCUGGGAGGCGAGAAGAGGGUGUCAGGUCCUCUAGAACUGAAAUUACAGAGCACUGUGAACUACCAUGGAGGUGCUGGGAAUUGAACCCAGAUACUCUUAACAGCUGAGCCAUAGCUGCAGCAUCCCCUCCACCCUCCCUUUGACAGAGUUCCAUGUGGUCCAGGCUGGCCUCAAACUUGCUGUAGAGUUAAGGGCGACCUUGAACUUCCGAUCCUCUAGCUUUCACCUGCAGUGACAGGCAGGCAUGCACCACUACACCCAGUUUCCUUGGGUGCUGGGGACUCUGCUCAGGGCUUUAAGCAUGCCGGGCAAGCACUGUGCUGAGAUGCCCCAACGGCCUCCACCAUGCCACUUACUUUUCCACAUUAGGUGCCUGAAUGAGGCUUUUGUACAUCGCAAACCUAUAUCCUUGGUUAAACAGACAAUGAAGGCUACAAAGGGGAGGUUGUGGUUGGGUGGACGGGAAUGGCCGUAGGACAAGAAAAUGCCUUCAGUAUCACCCUCAUUUCCUUAUUCACCAGCCCAGACCUGACUUCCAUGCUGGAGCUUUUUCCUAGGAGCUGCCAUCAUAUUGCAGAGGAGGAAGAUGAGGUGUGGUGAUGUGAAGGUUUCCAUAGGGACCUUUCCAGAGAUGCAAAGAUAGGCUUCUCCAUCAGCCCAGGGCCAGAAGUAAGACAACAAGAUGAAGGGACAGGAGUCCCUUAAAACUUAAAAAAUUUUUUUUUGACACUUAGUGUCUAUGUUUGGUGGGGGUACUUUUGGCAUUUAGCACGUGUAUUUGGUGGGGGAGGGGGACCAUGCUCUGUGCCACGUGGAGGUCAGACAGGCACAUGGAGACACAGCUGAGAACUCAUGUCUCAUCCACAAGCAAGGAGGCAGAGAGAGACAGAGACAGACAGAAUCAGAGACAGACAGACACAGGGACAGAGACAGAGUCAGACAGAGAGACAGACAAAGAUAGACAGACAGACACCACAGACAGACACACAGACACAGAUGGAUAGACUGACGGAUGGACAGGGAGAAACAUGCACACAGAGAGACACAGAGACACACAACCACAGACACAGAGAGACAUACGCACAGCCACAGACGCAGAGAGACAUACACACAGAGACACAGAAAUACUCAGAGAGACACAGAGAGACACAGAGUAACAUAGACCAAGACUGACUGACCGACCGAGUUUGACUGAGUCCUACAGAUGGAGACAGAGACUAGAAAGAGUGUGAGUCUUUUGACACCUCACAGCCCACUCUCAGUGACAGUCCUAAUCUCUCCCACACAACGCCACCAACUGGGGCCAAGUAUUCAAUCCUAUGAGUGCAUGGGAGCCAUUCUCAUCCAAACCACCGCAGGGGCUGUGGGGAGGGCCGCCUGUCUGCUAGAGGGAAGAAAAGUUCUCUCGAAAAGACCCUAGUGGUGGGAGCUGCAGCCUUGGGAGGGGCGGGCACAGGAGUGUGUUGGCAAGGAAGAGGAGCAGGUCCCGGCUGCCUAUGCUCCAGUGAGCUCCUGGCCACACUGGGGCUAUGGAUUUAAGUGUGCAGCCCUCUGGAGGAAGGCAGGUGUUCUGUCUGGAACUGUUUUGCCGGGGGAAGAUGGGGAGAUGCGGGAGGUGCUGCCGCAUGAAGAUGCUACAAAUACGUGGGAGUUUUGCAGUUACAGCACUCCUGAUGUCGGGGGCUUCGUAGAGGUUCUGGUCUGCCGAACGUAUUGAGGUGGUGGAGCAGAAGAGUGUGCUCGUGGGCUGCCAGGGUCAUCACACCGAGUAAAUAACAGAUAUCUAAGGAUACUGGAAGGCGGUUUCUCCUUGGAGAAGGGGUGCGCAGACACAGUUUCAGAUCUAUGUAAAUCCACGUGGCUAGAGUUGUCAGUGUAUGGACAUGUACUUGCAGCGUUUGGCCUCCGAGGUCCCAGAAGCAACGGAGCUCACGGUGCUCCUCCUGGCUCUUGGCCUCUGUAACCAUUGUCGAUUACGAUGAGCCAAAGCUUCCUGGAGGAGAUGCUGCUCCAAGGUGAUCCUGGAACAGGUGCUGUAAGACAAAGCCAACAGAAGCCGAAUUCCUGAUGGACCUGAGCGCCUGUCUUGUCUCUCCUGUUGCCGUGCAGAAUGGCAGGAGCGAUUCCGCAGAGCACCCACGAAGACAUCUACGAGUUUUACGCAGGCAGUGCUAAUCUGCCAGGCUGCAUUUCUUCUUAAUUCACGUGACUUUGGCUGGUCUCUUUCUGUCUUUGUCUCUGUCUCUCUGUCUCUGUGUCUGUAUGCAUGAAUUCGCAUGUGGGAAUGUUGUUUAUUUCACUGGCAUCUUGAUUCUUUUAAAGUUUCUGUGACCUUUUCCCAAACAAAGGAUUUGAAGCCUUGUUGUAUUUA